rnacentral:rRNA from 1 species
UGGGGAAUAUUGCACAAUGGGCGAAAGCCUGAUGCAGCGACGCCGCGUGAGGGAUGACGGCCUUCGGGUUGUAAACCUCUUUCAGCAGGGAAGAAGCGAAAGUGACGGUACCUGCAGAAGAAGCGCCGGCUAACUACGUGCCAGCAGCCGCGGUAAUACGUAGGGCGCAAGCGUUGUCCGGAAUUAUUGGGCGUAAAGAGCUCGUAGGCGGUUAGUCGCGUCUGCUGUGAAAACUCGAGGCUCAACCUCGGGCUUGCAGUGGGUACGGGCUGACUAGAGUGCGGUAGGGGUGACUGGAAUUCCUGGUGUAGCGGUGGAAUGCGCAGAUAUCAGGAGGAACACCGAUGGCGAAGGCAGGUCACUGGGCCGCAACUGACGCUGAGGAGCGAAAGCAUGGGGAGCGAACAGGAUUAGAUAGCCCUGGUAGUCCAUGCCGUAAACGUUGGGCACUAGGUGUGGGGUCC